GGUUUUAAUUACUACUUAAGAAUAUAUUCAUUAGUUUCAUAAAAGGCAUACCAUAUCUGGUGGCAUAUAGAAAACUUAAUUUCAGAUGAAGGAUGUUAUACUUAGAGGGAAAGGAGUGAGGGUAUGAGGUUAAACUAACUUAGCACCUUUGGAGAACUCUAACCAAUAGACUGGUAAUUUAUGGAAGAAUGUAUAGACUCAACCUCCUAUCUGUAUUUAGAUAGUUACCCUAUGUUUAGAUAGCAAAAGUUAGGAGAUUGAAAGUUGGAUAGAGAGAAUACGAAUGAAGAAAAAGAAAAAAAAAGGAAGAAAAGAGAAAUAAGAGAGAAGGAAAAGGAAAGUAAGAUAGAAAUAAAGAAGGGAUCCAACAUGGCGGCGAGUGGGGAGGCAGCGCUUUCAGUACGUCCGCAACAAUGGGGUCAGAGAGACGCAUGGAUACGCUUAGAUUCGACCUGCUGAGAAACUCCUAGCAAAAUUCCACUAAAGAGAGACCGGCUGGGAAUUGGUAGGAUUUUGGAGGUGACAGUUUGUGCUAGACGAAUGAAUCUCCGCCACGCAGCGCAGAGGUCCAGACCCGCCAGCCGCUGCCCGCGCGACUCGGCGACUGUCGGCUGCCUGCACACAGCCCCCGCGUCAGGGCAGAUAGCCUCCGAGGCGCAGCGCAGCAGGAGCGGUGCAGGGACUCCAGGAAGAGGUCUCUCGCCAAGCCUUCAUGAAAUAGCGAACCGGGAGCUGAAACCAACCAGAGACAGACCAGUCCCACCCCUCCCUUCGGACACUCCGGCAAGGAGCCUGGGGCCCGCCAUAGCAGAGAGGUGACAUCACCAGAGUUCCGCCGACAGAAUUCCUUCCCAGAGGAAUCCACGUUAGCAGGUGUGUGACUCCCACCCCCCCAGAUACAAGCAGCCAGGAAACCUCGGGAAUCUCUCCGGGGGCAUAUCUGUAGGGAAGCAGAGGGGAUUCCAGAUCCCCACCUCCCCUUAACACCAGCGGCGACACCCAAGAUCUUAGCCGCCAGUUUCUGGGGGCGUGCCCACCAAAG
rnacentral:lncRNA from 1 species